GACGAACGCUGGCGGCGUGCCUAACACAUGCAAGUCGAACGGAGUCGGCCCCGCAAGGGACUGACUUAGUGGCGAACGGGUGAGUAACGCGUGAGCAACCUGCCUUUCAGUGGGGGACAACAGUUGGAAACGACUGCUAAUACCGCAUAAUGCAUUUUGACCGCAUGAUCGAGAUGCCAAAGAUUUAUUGCUGAAAGAUGGGCUCGCGUCUGAUUAGAUAGUUGGUGAGGUAACGGCCCACCAAGUCGACGAUCAGUAGCCGGACUGAGAGGUUGAACGGCCACAUUGGGACUGAGAUACGGCCCAGACGCCUACGGGAGGCAGCAGUGGGGAAUAUUGGGAAAUGGGGGAAACCCUGACCCAGCAACGCCGCGUGAAGGAAGAAGGCUUUCGGGUUGUAAACUUCUUUUACCAGGGACGAAGAAAGUGACGGUACCUGGAGAAAAAGCCACGGCUAACUACGUG
rnacentral:rRNA from 1 species